AUUAUGAACGUGUAAAUGUCUUCAGUUGCUUCUAUGGUUCAUAAAUUUAAUGCGUAAUUAAUCUCAUAAAUAUACGAAACGCGUCGUUUUAAAAUGAAGAAAUUGAUUUCAUUUAGAAGGAAUAUUUUGAUUUGUCAAACAGCAUAAAAAAUCUUACAAAGAUAGUAUGAGUGGUCCAUUUUGCCUUCUUUUAGAAGUUGCUGAUAUGAGAAUCAAGGUCAUAGGUUGCAAAUGGAAACACAAACUCCUACAAUUAAAAUCCAAUUGUAAAUAAUAAUGUCCACUUCCAAAUUUGCAGUUUGUUAAAGCCAUAUUCUAGCGGAGCUGUUACAUCUUAUCAGGUCCAAAAUUUUUAAGCACCCACACUUUUAUCACAUUUAACACCAAAUAAUUUUGAAUGUUCAAAAUAGCAUUCAUACCAGCAAAAUUCUAGUCAUGUCUUACAUCCGUUUCUGGUCAGAAACACACUUUUUCGAUAUGUAACAUGAAACUAAUCUUGAACAUAUAGAACACCAUGAGAUUCAGGGGUGGACACAGGAAAUUUUAUCAGUGUGGGCGAUAUUAGCAAAGAUCUAAAAAUAACAACGAUCUUCUCUUUACUAAGUUGUGAGAUAACUCAAUUUUCUUCAUUUCUCCAGUUAGAGAGCUGAAAAAGUAGGUGUGAAUGCCACCAAAAGGUAACACCAAUAGAGAAUCAGUGUUGAGAUUUAGUAUUAACUAGAAGGGUUGAGGUCCAAAUUCAUCUGGGUGGGUGGUAGGUUGCACGUGAGGGGACCUGCAAGAAAGAUCAGUAAAUAUAGAAGAAGCUCCAGGGCCACUGGUGGGGUCUCUCAUUAGAUUGCAUACCAUACAGUUUAGCUAGCUUCAAGAAUUGCCAGCGCCUAUUCACCAGUUUAACACAAUUAUGUCCCCAAGUUUUUUUAUUUUUUAUUUAUUUAUUUUAUUUAUUAUUAUUAUUAUUUUUUUUUAGCUUAAGUGGGCUGGCCCAAAGUUCAGUGCAGGCUUCUGC
rnacentral:lncRNA from 1 species